GUCCUUGCUGGAGAGUGAAUAACUCACAGUGACAUCAGGGAGAAUCCUAACUAUCAUCUCUGAGAUUUAUUGAUGUCUUUACCAGAGGUGAUACACAACCCCUUGGGAGAAGCAGUUUGAAAAGAUGUAUGCACAGGAGUGCCCUCCCACAGGACAGACUACAGAUGCAUUGUGGAGAUGAUUUGUUCCUGUCCAAAGCUGACAAUCUUCAGGAGGUCAGGAUAUUGGUGGAUGAGAGCACCAGCAGUCAUCACCAGCACAAGGUGUUUUACUCUCACAAAAUCUGAAGCUGGAGCUCCAGAACUAGAGGGGAGAAUCAACAACAAAUACAACUGAAGAAAGCAGCAGGUAAAAGAUCAAGAUUUGGGGGCAAACGUGUUCUGUAUUGAGAAUAUAAACUGCACGAUUCCCUGUUUGUCGUCGUUUUAUAAGGAACGAAACUACUUUAACAAAAUAUUAAUAAUAAAAUUAAAAUAAAAUAAUGAAAUAGAUGCA
rnacentral:lncRNA from 1 species